GAAAGAAGGGCAUUUCUGUAUAAGUGCAGUUUGGGGGAGUUUGGACUAGCCACUUUCGCUUGCGACACCACCAAUAGCAAUCCUCUCCUGCUCCGGCAACCCUUGCCUGCUGUCCAGGAUCGGAGUAAAAGUUCGACAAAGUGAGAUUAUUGGUGGAGGGAAUCUGAAGAACUGGGGGGCAGGUGCGGUGCAGGCUAUGGAGGAUUCUGCUAUUCCCACCGAACCUCUCAUGAAAGAGGUGUCGCCUAGCCCAAGUUAACAGAGUGAAGAGCAGUUUUCUUCCACGUACGGUAGCACCCCUAGAACCCCAAGAACCGCGUAAAAAGCUGGGAGUGGUGGUACAUGCUCUCAGGGCUGGAAGGCAGGGACAAAGGGGUCCUGGGUGUUUGAUGGCCAGCUAGUUUAGCCUAACACACACAUACACACACACACACCCCAUGGCAUCUUUUAUUGAAAAAGAAUUUAAGGCCCAGUGAGAUGGUUUAAUAUGUAAUAUAUCAUGUGUGCCUGGCUGACAAUUUGAGUUUAAUUCCUUAGAACCCGUGAAAGGUAGAAAGAACCAACUCCAGAGGUUACCCUCUGAUCUCCACAUGUACACCUCUCUCUUUCUUUCCCUCCUUCCCUCCCUCCCUCCCUUCCUCUCUUCCCCCUUCCCUCAUAUACAGUCACAUACCAGAUCACACAUACACAAAUAAUAAUAAUUUUGGUCUAUAAGGUCACUACUGCAUAUUUCCAGUGAAGUGUAUUAAUUCUUUGGUUAUUUCAGUUGUCAUUAUCCACUGUGAAUGAAUAGAGGCCCCUUGAGUCUAUAAAAAGCUGGAGACCCCAAUCUGGCCUUAAGAGGGGCACACAGCUGAAAGGUGGGGUGCUCAGCUGGCUUCUCUAACUGAGCUCUCAAAAUCUUCAGGAAUGCUACCUGCCAGAUUCCAGUGCUGUUUCAGGCUGCAGGGUAGGAAGGGCGACCAGGUAUGCAGACUCUUGCCAGCCAAUGUAGUUAUUUUAUUAGGCAAAUCAGUGUCUACAGAUUCCAGUCUAAACCCACUGGUCCCGACCCAGUUUGGUAGAAACGUUUUCAAAGGUAAAGUGGAAUGCAUUAGCAGCCACUAAAUCUCAUAAUUAUAGUGAUUUUGGCUGAUAAUCCCUUUCCUUCUGCAUCUGUCUCAAACAUUAACACAAAGAAUAUCUUUUAACAGAGGUCAGCCCUGGUGGGAGUUACUUAUAAAACCAUUAGAUACUCUGUACCAAGAGGGAUGCUGAAGGCCCUUCCUCAGACAAGAAAUGUCUUGGCAAAAACAUGCAGGGCGUAAAUUUUACAGAAUCAUAAAAUGGAAGGACUGAAUUUAGGAGCUGGUUGAAAGAAUGCUGAGCAAAAAGAGUUGUAAGCUGGCCCUGCUGGCCAAGGCCUGUAUUCUCAGCUAUGUUGAAGGGUGAGGCAGGUCCCGGGCUUGCCUGGGCUCUAGCGUAGUUCAAGGUCAGCCUGGGUAACUUAGUGAGACCUUGUCUCAAAAUACAAGGUGAAAAGAGGGUUGGGAUACGGCCCAGCACUGGAGUACUUGUCUAGCUUGUGAGGCCUCAGUGCUAAUACUGACUCUCUGUAGGCUGUAGAAUGUGUAGUCUGUGGUGGGACAGUCUUUGUCUCCUGAUCCUGCUUCUCUGCUUCUUUCUCCUAUUUCUCUCCCUCUUCUGUCCUUCCUUAGUAGGAAGUUUCGUGGUUACCACCUUCUGGGUCCCUGGGUCCUUCGUCCAGAACCAGGUAUUAGUGCUUCUCAGCCUACGAAUGGGAACAAGGAGCAGAACGCACACCUAUCCGGAAGCAGCAAACCCUUCCGCUCCUCGCGCAAGUCUGGGGCAUUGCUCUUCAUCUCCUGAGGCCUCAGUUUCCAAAGGCUGCAGCUGCAGGCAGCCUGUGUUGCUUCAUUUCUCCAGAAGCCAGAAGUGCAGGUUCCCACGGGGCCCGGUCUGGCAUCAGCGCCUCUAGCCUUUACCCAUAAAUGUAUUCCUGGUCGCCACAGUCUGGUUCUUCCGCGGAGUGGAGUGGAAUGGCUUCACUACCGCUCACCCUGCUGCUAUCACCACACCCGGAGCAAGCUUGCUUUUUCUUCCCUUGGCCUUCCUCUUUGACAUGCUAUGUAUUCCUGUGGCACGUUUGGGAGCUGAGGGAGUGAAAAGUCACCAUACCACAGGCAGCGUGCGUGGGCUGUCCCUGCUACCUGCUCCAGUGAGGUCUGUUGAGGGAGCCUGGCUGAGUAGGGGCACAGGUGACCCCAGGUCUACAGAGCACAACCUUUUGGAAAUAUGUCGGGUCUACGCCAAAGCCUCAUGCACACUGACUGAAACGGAGUGAUUUUGCCCUUCAUAUAUCAGAAAGUUUAAGCUAGACACCAGUGUGAUUCUGGCCAUUCUUUUUACAGGUGCCGUGGACACUCAUGCCACAGGAAUGAUCGCCGAGCUUCAAGUCACUUCCACCGUGUAGUAAAGAGUUUCAAUAACCUGAAGCACGCCAGGGACACAAAAAUUUUAUCAAGUCCAUUACAUAGUCUAAGUUUCUAGACAGAAGCCUCUCUGUGUGAAUAAUACACACCCAGGGCCAGACAGGCACUGUAUCGAAGUUUUCUUUGGAUAUGAUGACAUUUUUAUUUGAAUUGAGCCAAGCUUAGGAAAUCACUGUGGGAGAUCUGGAUGCCUGAUAAAAGCUUUCAGAUGAUGGUACCAAUUUUCAAUAAACAUCAUAAAAAUUU